ensembl:lncRNA
CUUGCUGAUGAUCAAUUAAUCAAAUGCAUUUGAUAAGCAGCACCGGCUGCUACUUACCCAGUUAAUUCCUGUGGAAGCAAUAAGGCUUUUCACACACUGCCUCUGUAUUUUGCCUUAAUUUGUGUCAGAUAAAUAAUGGCGUGGUCUAAUAUGUCAUUUGUCAUUGACCUGAGGUUGUACUUAUCUGACGAGCACCAGAUGUUUUUUUUUUUCAUUAUAUCCUGAUAUCUUAGAGCUGAAAGAGGUUGUGCCUCCCUUGUACUAUGCGCUGUGAUCACAUACAGUCUGUGUGCCAUAUCUUGACCGAUCCUGUCAAUGCAACACGAAAAUAAGAAAAUGAAGUAGUCUACUCAAUUAACCAGCACUGAUUCUUAAAACUUACCUUUAGGCCCUGUUACUUUCAUAGCAGGAGUAAGCUGGCUUCUAAUAUUGCUCCGUGAAUGUGAAAGUUUCUCUGAGCAAAUUCAUUCCUUGACAGCUGGUAAAGAAAUGUCCCUGCACAGUCAUCAUCCUCUGCUUUCUUCACAAGCUCAUCGGGUAGGUGAUCCACUUUAAAAAAAAAAAUAGAAAAAUCAGACUACGUCUGGGUCUUUAAACUUGCCACAACCUGCACUGUAAUUAAACAUAAUGAUGAAAUAAAACAUUUGGAUGUAAAGGGUGGGGGUGUUGUGUAACCAGCUCAAGUGCUUUCACUGCACAUCACUACUACUACUACUACUAAUAAUAAUAUUAAUAACACAGAUACCAAACAACAAACACUUUGAUUUUAGAAUGAAAAAAAUCUGAUAUUUUUAGGGAAAAAUGUAUUUCAUUUUUUAUGAACGCUAACACUGGAGCAGUGUCUCAUCAUCAUCUGCUAAGCUGUGAUGCUCAGACCUGCCCUGCUAUAGGUGUUGCAGAGUACUGUAAACAAAAGAAGUCCGUUCUGCUCGGCAAACUAUACAAUAACAACAUUUCUAUAUUACCUAAAGUACUUUUUCUUCUCUUCUGUUUUGAAUUAUGUUCUGUAAUGAAAAACGUUUUUAAAUCAGUACAAAAAGGGCAAAAAUGAAAGCAUACUGACCUGUAAUAGGCCAAUAAAGGCCACUUAUUCAUACAUCGAGCUUGUUUGGAUAUAUGUCUGAACACUUUAAAGUUAUGAAUAUAAGUGCAACACUAUCACAGUUUGGCAAACAAUAUUGUGGCAUAACACCACC